CCUGGAUGGAGCCUGGACACCGCUACUGAAGAGGAUGCAGGCCUUUUCCCCCGCCAGCAGCAAGGUGGACUUAGUAGAGGCUGCUGAGGCCCACGCUCAGAAGCUGAAUCAGCUGGCGAUCAACCUGUCUGGCAUUAUCCAGGGAAUCAAUCAGGACCGCUUCAUCCAGAGGGCGGUGGAAGCCUCCAAUGCCUAUAGCAGCAUCCUGCAGGCCGUACAGGCUGCCGAAGAUGCCGCAGGCCACGCGCUGAGGCAGGCCAGCCGCACGUGGGAGAUGGUGGUGCAACGGGGCCUAGCAGCUGGAGCCCGGCAGCUGUUAGCCAACAGCAGUGCCUUGGUGGAGACCAUCUUGGGGCACCAGGAGAGGCUGGGCCUUGCUCAUGGCCGCCUGCAGGCCGCGGGGACCCAGCUUCGCGAUGUCCGUGCCAAGAAGAACCAGCUGGCCGCCCAGAUCCAGGAGGCACAAGCCAUGCUGGCCAUGGACACAAGCGAGACCAGCGAGAAGAUCGCUCACGCCAAGGCUGUGGCUGCAGAAGCCCGCGACACGGCCGCCCAUGUGCAGUCUCAGCUUCAGGGUAUGCAGAAGAAUGUGGAGCGGUGGCAGAGCCAGCUGGGGGGCCUGCGAGGCCAGGACCUGAGCCAGGCGGAACGGGAUGCAAGCAGUUCAGUGUCUACCCUGGAGAAGACAUUGCCACAGCUGCUGGCCAAACUGAGCCAUCUGGAGAACCGAGGGGUGCACAACGCCAGCCUGGCCUUGUCUGCCAACAUCGGUCGUGUG
rnacentral:lncRNA from 1 species